CGACGAUGUAAUACCUUUUUUUUUUAACAGCCGAUGACGACGAAGUGAAAGACGAAGAACUUUGUUUGAUCGAUCUUACAAAGUUGGAAGAUGAUUAUCGAGAGGAUUCGCCGGAAGAGACCAACGCGAUCCCUUUAACCCAAUCGCAGUCUGAUUUUCCGUUUACAUCUCUUGCUCACUGGUCUCCCUUAACGCUGGAGGGUCCAUCAACGGCCAUUCCAGGCAGAGGAGAAGGCUUGAUUGCGCCAAAGACUCCAGACAUCGAAUCCUUGCUCCGUGGGGAAAUCAUCGAAAACGACGGUGAAUGUCCAACAGGCACCCGCUGCAACAAACGCAGGAGGAAGCGUAGAUGCGCCCGCCAGCUCGACAAACAUGAUAGAAACAGAAGAAGGCUGAAACAGUACUAUCGUAUACUGGCUCGCACUCUCAUGAAGAUGGCAGACAUGAUUUGAUACAUACUGGUUUGUUAUAUCUGUUCCAUUCGAAUUAUUUUUUCUUUUUUUUCUUUAGAGAAAUAUAAUGGGUGUAGUUCCAUCUGAAUUAGAUGUAGUUAUUGUAGAAGAUGAAGACGUUUGUAAUCAUCAUUUAGAUCCAAACAACCAGAUAGAAUGGGAACCAAACGAUGAUCCGUCUUUGCAAGAUGAUAUUAAUGUGUUAAAUUCAAACACAAACACACAAGCCUCUACACAGCAUCACGAGGUGUUGGGAGGGGCG